GAGUUUGAUCGUGCUCAGGAUGAACGCUGGCGGCGUGCCUAAUACAUGCAAGUCGAGCGAACAGACGAGGAGCUUGCUCCUCUGACGUUAGCGGCGGACGGGUGAGUAACACGUGGAUAACCUACCUAUAAGACUGGGAUAACUUCGGGAAACCGGAGCUAAUACCGGAUAAUAUAUUGAACCGCAUGGUUCAAUAGUGAAAGACGGUUUUGCUGUCACUUAUAGAUGGAUCCGCGCCGCAUUAGCUAGUUGGUAAAGUAACGGCUUACCAAGGCAACGAUGCGUAGCCGACCUGAGAGGGUGAUCGGCCACACUGGAACUGAGACACGGUCCAGACUCCUACGGGAGGCAGCAGUAGGGAAUCUUCCGCAAUGGGCGAAAGCCUGACGGAGCAACGCCGCGUGAGUGAUGAAGGUCUUCGGAUCGUAAAACUCUGUUAUUAGGGAAGAACAAAUGUGUAAGUAACUAUGCACGUCUUGACGGUACCUAAUCAGAAAGCCACGGCUAACUACGUGCCAGCCC
rnacentral:rRNA from 1 species